rnacentral:rRNA from 1 species
UACAGAGGAGCCAAGCGUUGUCCGGAUUGACUGGGCGUAAAGCGCACGCAGGCGGACGCGCGCGUGGGGUGUGAAAUCUGGCCGCUUAACGGCCAGGCGCCAUCCCAUACGGCGCGUCUGGAGUGAUGCAGAGGUCGAUGGAAUUGCCGGUGUAGUGGUGAAAUGCGUAGAGAUCGGCAGGAACACCCAGGGGGAAACCAGUCGACUGGGCAUCUACUGACGCUGAGGUGCGAGAGCGUGGGGAGCGAA